CUGUAAUAAAAAAAAUAAAAAUUGAUAUAAGGCUUGUGACAGUGGCCAUACUUAUAAUCCCAGGGCUUUGGAAGGCCAGGACAGAAAAAUCACUUGAGGCCAGAAGUUUGAGAUCAGUCUGGGCAACAUAGUAAGACCUUAUCUCUACCAAAAAGUAAAAAGAAAAUUAGCCUUUCAUGGUGGUGUGCACCAGUUGUCCCAGCUACUCAGGAGGCUGAGUUGGGACGAUAGCUUGAGUCCAGGAGUAUAAGACUGCAGUGAGUUCUGAUUGUGCUGCCAGGCUGCCAGGCCCUGCCCCUGGAGUCUUUCUUUGAAAAGGCCUGGGGUGGGGCCCAAGAUUGAGUAGAAGAACAGGUUUCCUGGUGAGGUUGAUGCCGCUGGCCCAGGGAUCCCACCUUGAGGGCAGAGGGCUUUGAGGUUUUCAUGCCUGAUGAGGGCCAGGAACCCUUCUCAGUAGGCAUUGAAGACGGGCAGAGUCACAGAUUCCAGGAGAGAUGUCGUCAGAGGGACACAGAGGCAUCACGGAAUUAAAAUGAAAAUGAAGAAAGGAGCUGAGCAUCUGUUUCAUCACUUUCCUGCGCUGUUUUACUAAAGGGGCUGUUCUGGCCCAGUCAGGGCACGCUAUCAUCAAUCACCAACUACUUGUUGAACUAUGUCCCGGGUCUUGACCUUGAAGGAGGGACGCGUUCGGGUUGAAAGCCGCCAUGCCUGGUCGAUCGCAUCCCAGCCCUGAGCUGGCAGGGGCGAGUUUCCACCCGAGGGCCCCCGUCGUGGGAUGUCGCCAGAGGAGUGGCCAUUUACAAGUUGGCUUCAUGCAGAGGCUCCAGGAGCGCCCCUGCGGGUAGCAGUUCAGGGAAAAGUAGCAGCUUCAGCUGUCUCCGCUCCUCUAGAGGGCGCGGAAGCCCGAGUUCUCCAAGAACCGCCUGCAGAAGCUCAAGGACUGCUAGCUGUCCGCGCUGACGCUGCGCUCCGUGCGCGGCCCGGAGGAUCGGGGCGCCCUGGAUCACAUGGUCAGGAUGACCACGAGCCUCUUAACAGCCCCGCCGUGGCCAUCGCGUGCCAGACACUGUCCCCCGAGAGCACUCUGGCUUUCAGCGGAGCAGCUUGUGGCCGGCGUGGUGGUGCCCCAGGUCAGCCUCAGCAUGGAGCCGGCGCCCACCUUCCAGUCCGGAGAGGUCGGCGCGGAAGGGCAGCACAAAGGACAGCAGCCACCUGCGGAUACCAAAGUGGCCUUACAAGGUGA
rnacentral:lncRNA from 1 species